GACGAACGCUGGCGGCGUGCCUAAUACAUGCAAGUUGAGCGCUGAAGGUUGGUACUUGUACCAACUGGAUGAGCAGCGAACGGGUGAGUAACGCGUGGGGAAUCUGCCUUUGAGCGGGGGACAACAUUUGGAAACGAAUGCUAAUACCGCAUAAAAACUUUAAACACAAGUUUUAAGUUUGAAAGAUGCAAUUGCAUCACUCAAAGAUGAUCCCGCGUUGUAUUAGCUAGUUGGUGAGGUAAAGGCUCACCAAGGCGAUGAUACAUAGCCGACCUGAGAGGGUGAUCGGCCACAUUGGGACUGAGACACGGCCCAAACUCCUACGGGAGGCUGCAGUAGGGAAUCUUCGGCAAUGGACGAAAGUCUGACCGAGCAACACCGCGUGAGUGAAGAAGGUUUUCGGAUCGUAAAACUCUGUUGGUAGAGAAGAACGUUGGUGAGAGUGGAAAGCUCAUCAAGUGACGGUAACUACCCAGAAAGGGACGGCUAACUACGU
rnacentral:rRNA from 1 species